UGGAUUAGAUAGAACUUUAUUAAUCCUUGGGAAGAAUCCCUCAGGGAAGUUGAGGUUCCAGCAGCAUUGUAUAGCAGCACACAGGAUAAGAAGCACACAGAGUAUCAAAAGUGAAAGUCAAAAAGAAAAACAAUUUGCAAUAAUCAUGAAGUUCUUGU